UGCCUAUAAAAUGCAGAGACAAAGGACAGGAAAAGAUAAGGAGAGCCAGGGAGCCUAUCAUUCCUGAGCACAGUACUAAAAAGAGAGGUUGGGAGUUGAUUCACCCAUUCUUCCGAGCUCAACCUCUGUUUUGCAAGCUUGGCUGUAGCAUCAGCUGAACUUCUCCUCAUCUUGAACAAGCCAGAUUAAGUAGUGUGUGUCCAGAUUUGGUAUUGGAAAACGCCUCUUCAAGUUUUAGCAGCUCAAGGUCAAAGCCAAAUGCCGCUUCUGAUGUACGUUAAGCGACGUUCAGCUACUUGAUUAUGCUCCAACCAUAGUUCUAUGGAAGUUAAUUGACAUCAAACUUGAGCAACAUAUCCAAGAACUGACAGAAGAAGUGAAAAGGAUGCUAAUGGCUCCAGUUAUAACAAGCUUCAGAAAGAUUUGACAUGAUUGAAAACAAUCAGCGUUUACUCAUUUAGGCAUGUCCUACCAUUUGAAAAUGAGAUCAACGAAAUAUUGAAACAAGUCGAUCUACAACAGUUCUUACGGUAGUGAAGUUCUGGAAAAUGAUAAUUAUCUUUACACUACAGCUCCCCGUUUUCGAUUGCUCAGACAAAAAGGCUACGACGUUUCCUGCGGUAAAUUUGUCAUUCUUUCUUUCAUUAAUUUCUAAUAGCACUAUAUAAAAUAGCUUUUAUCUGUUUACUAUGUACGUAUAUGCGCAUGUACUAACUGAAUAUAUCACAUUGCGCUGUCUAAUGCAUUAUUGGUUGGUAGUAUAUAUAUAUACGUAGACAUGUUCAACAAGUUCAAGGAAAGUAAUGGGACGUUUAAGGAAUUUCUUAUGAGCAAUGUAGUAGGACUAUCAAGUUUGUCUCUGAAGCCACUCAUCUUAGGGUUCAUGGAGAAGACGUAGUUGAUAUAUGAGGCACUAACCUUCACCAUGACUCUUCUUGAGUCUGCAGCACACCGUUUGAGCUCCCCGUUAUUGAAACAAGUAACUCAUGACUUAUAUCAGCCACUUUGGAAGAGCUUUUCAAGGAUGGAAGCGACGUAUUUCCUACUACAUCGGUCGAUCAUUAGAAAUUCCAUAAAUGUACGUCCCAUUACUUUCCUUGAGCUUGUUGAAUAUAUCUACAUGUAUAUUACCAACCAAUAAUGCUUUAGACAGCAAUAUGAUAUAACCAGUUAACAUGCGAACGUACGUACAUAGCAAUCUGUCUAGUAAACAGUUAAACUUUUAACAUAUAGUGCUAUUAGAAAUUAAUGAAAGAAAUAGAAUGACAAAUUUACCGCUCAGGAAAAGUUGUGGCUAGCCUUGUUGUCUUUUUUGAACAAUUGUAGCCUUGUUGUCUAAGCAAUCGAAAACGGGGAUCAGUAAAAGGUCACCAUCACACAAUGAUGAUUCACACAAUGAAAUUCUGCUGACUCGUGCAAAGUUGGAUCUCCACCAUGUGCAAAAAAUCCAUCAGAAUGAACUUGCAAGUGAUAUUAAUUACAAGGUGUUGGAAAGACUUGGACGUUGUAAACAAGCUACUUUUCGUAAGAGACAGGAGAAUUGUUUUGCCCUUCUUUGGGAGUCUAUUUUGAACUUGAAUAUUCGUUUGCUAGGAUGAUAGUAUGCAAAUAUGCAUGUUUGCCUAGCGACAACCGCCGGCGGUUUGGUACUCUCAUUCGCAAUUCAAAUUUCAAGUUAAGGCUUACUUCCAUGAAGCCAAAUCGUUGAAGGCAAAACACAUGCACUCCAACAAUAGAAGAAUAUAUCUCAGUAGAAGGCGAUGCAUCCUUCUUUACUUCCAUCAAACCAAAUGGUCGAAGGCAAAACACAUGCCCAAAUUUUGUCUGAGCUGUCUGGAUUAUAGCUUAGACAAAAUUUGGGCCCAAAAAGUCCCAACUAUAGGUAUAUUUGCCAUAAGCCUAUAGUAGCCCAAAGGAAAAAAAAAUUUAUCUAGUUGCCAGCCACUUGGUUGUAAUUUGAAGAAUCUAUUCGAGCCCUCGAGUCCAGUUCUUCUUCCUACAGUUCCUUUCAUUGCAGUCGUCUUUUACGGCUUUCUCCAUCCAAUCUUACAGGCUUUGUUUUAUGAUUUGCUUAUGCCUUUAUCGGAAUGGGAGCUCUAGUUACAAAAGACUCCAUGGAUUGGGUGUUCAAUGACCCCAAGAUUCCAAUGGCUACAUCUGUAAUUUUCAGAAUCCUGAAGGACAUAAUUGGCCACAAGGUACUUUUAAUUUAUGCUGUGCCUAAAACUAGAAUAAGUUCUAUAUAUAUGCAUAUGAAUCUAUCUUAUAACCUUAUAACUGCAUCUACGUAGUUUGAGCAAAAGAGAGAACACCAUGCCUCAUUAGUGGAAUAUUGCUACAUGAAUCAAUAUAACGUCACAGAAGAAGAAGCGAAAAUCGAGCUAACCAAUUAAGCAAGUCAAUGAUUCCUGGAAAGACUUGAACCAAAAGUGGCUCAACCGCCACUCCAAUACUAGUAUACUACCAUUCACAUGCCUCUAUUGCUAGUAAUUCUGAAUCAUGCACGUUUGAAUAAACUUCUAUACAAGAAUGAAGAUGUGUUCACUCAUCCUAAAACAUUGCUCAAGGGUUUUGUAGUUUCUCUCUUUAUGGAACCCAUGCUUGUAUAAUUAAACCUAAAGACCACAUUUAUACUAGUAUAUGAUACUAGUAUAUGACAUUAUGACAAGUGACUUUGGUAAUGUAGUAAAAGGGAUUUGUAGCAUAUAUAGGAGGCCACAUAGGUUUCUUAACCGAGAGUAUUUGUAAAAUAAUAUUUCUAGAAAAAUAGAAGAAAAGAAAAUCCAAGUGGGACGACUAACAUCUCAUUAAUUGUUGUUGAUGAGGUUCUUUAAAGUCGUUUGAUGGUACACACUGGUUGCAUUGUUAUGUAAAUAUAAAUUCGUGCUUAUGUUCUGCAAUAUGUGUUAUUUAAAGUCACAGCAUGGUAUAUCCAGGGUUUAGACUAGAAAAGUAGAGACUAGCUCG